AACGAACGCUGGCGGCAGGCCUAACACAUGCAAGCCGAACGCUGUAGCAAUACAGAGUGGCAGACGGGUGAGUAACGCGUGGGAACGUGCCCUUUGGUUCGGAAUAACCCAGGGAAACUUGGGCUAAAACCGGAUACGCCCUCGGGGAAGGAUUAUCGCCAAGGAUCGGCCCGCGUCGGAUUAGCUAGUUGGUGAGGUAACGGCUCACCAAGGCGACGAUCCGU
rnacentral:rRNA from 1 species